GAGCACGUAGGUGGGUUUGUAAGUCAGAUGUGAAAGCCUUCUGUUCAACGGAAGAAUUGCAUCUGAAACUGCGAGUCUUGAGUGUAGGAGGGGAGAAUGGAACUUCUGGUGGAGCGGUGAAAUGCGUAGAUAUCAGAAGGAACGCCGGCGGCGAAAGCGAUUCUCUGGCCUAUUACUGACACUCAGUGUGCGAAAGCUAGGGGAGCAAACGGGAUUAGAUACCCCGGUAGUCCUAGCCGUAAACGAUGGGCACUAAGUAGAGGGAAUUACCGAUAUUCUCUCUGCCGUAGCUAACGCAUUAAGUGCCCCGCCUGGGGAGUACGGCCGCAAGGCUAAAACUCAAAAGAAUUGACGGGGGCUCGCACAAGCGGUGGAGCAUGUGGCUUAAUUCGAUGCAACGCGAAAAACCUUACCGGGGCUUGACAUGAUAGAAGUAGGAACCCGAAAGGGUAACGAACGGUAUCCAGUCCGUAGCUAUUACAGGUGUUGCAUGGCUGUCGUCAGCUCGUGUCGUGAGACGUUGGGUUAAGUCCCCUAACGAGCGAAGCCCUUGUUUUUAGUUGCCAGCGGGUUGUGCCGGGCACUCUAGAAAGACUGCCGUCGUCAAGACGGAGGAAGGUGGGGACGACGUCAAGUCAUCAUGGCCCUUAUGCCCCGGGCUGCACACGUGCUACAAUGGUCGGUACAAACGGAAGCGAAGCCGAGAGGUGAAGCGAAUCC
rnacentral:rRNA from 1 species